AUUUAACAUUUAGCUCUUUAAGAUCUUAGUCCAGUUGCACUGACAGGACAACUGGACUAAGAUCUGAAAGAGCUAAAUGUUAAA
ensembl:miRNA aca-mir-5451 aca-mir-5451